rnacentral:rRNA from 1 species
GACGAACGCUGGCGGCGUGCUUAACACAUGCAAGUCGAACGGAAAGGCCCUGCUUGCAGGGUACUCGAGUGGCGAACGGGUGAGUAACACGUGGGUGAUCUGCCCUGCACUUCGGGAUAAGCUUGGGAAACUGGGUCUAAUACCGGAUAGGAGCCAUCUUUAGUGUGGUGGUUGGAAAGUUUUUUCGGUGUAGGAUGAGCUCGCGGCCUAUCAGCUUGUUGGUGGGGUAAUGGCCUACCAAGGCGGCGACGGGUAGCCGGCCUGAGAGGGUGUACGGCCACAUUGGGACUGAGAUACGGCCCAGACUCCUACGGGAGGCAGCAGUGGGGAACAUUGCACAAUGGGCGCAAGCCUGAUGCAGCGACGCCGCGUGGGGGAUGAAGGCCUUCGGGUUGUAAACUCCUUUCGCUAGGGACGAAGCUUUUUUGUGACGGUACCUAGAUAAGAAGCACCGGCUAACUACGUG